rnacentral:rRNA from 1 species
GGAGCCGCUGACCCAAGUUGGUAGUAGGUGAGUGAUGGGGUGACGCAGGAAGGUAGUCCAUCCCGGGCGGUGGUUGUCCCGGGGUAAGGGUGUAGGACGGUGUGUAGGUAAAUCCGCGCACCUUGUGUCUGAGACCUGAUGCCGAGCCGAUUGUGGUGAAGUGGAUGAUCCUAUGCUGUCGAGAAAAGCCUCUAGCGAGUUUCAUGGCGGCCCGUACCCUAAACC